CCUACGGGUGGCAGCAGUGGGGAAUAUUGGACAAUGGGCGAAAGCCUGAUCCAGCCAUGCCGCGUGUGUGAAGAAGGCCUUCGGGUUGUAAAGCACUUUCAGUGGGGAAGAAAGCCUUGGGGCUAAUACCCUCGAGGAAGGACAUCACCCACAGAAGAAGCACCGGCUAACUCCGUGCCAGCAGCCGCGGUAAUACGGAGGGUGCGAGCGUUAAUCGGAAUUACUGGGCGUAAAGCGCGCGUAGGCGGUCUGAUAAGCCGGUUGUGAAAGCCCCGGGCUCAACCUGGGAACGGCAUCCGGAACUGUCAGGCUAGAGUGCAGGAGAGGAAGGUAGAAUUCCCGGUGUAGCGGUGAAAUGCGUAGAGAUCGGGAGGAAUACCAGUGGUGAAGGCGGCCUUCUGGACUGACACUGACGCUGAGGUGCGAAAGCGUGGGUAGCAAACAGGAUUAGAUACCCUGGUAGUC
rnacentral:rRNA from 1 species